rnacentral:misc_RNA from 1 species
GUCGCCACCCGAUGGAAAACUGGUCGAGGACGCAUAGACAUCCGCAUUCAGCGGACAGGUUACCUUUACUUGGUUGCCUAGAUUAGCUUUUAUCAAGGCUCUCUGGACAUUCCGCAGAGCAGGAAAGGUUGUACUGAGAAAGCUUCCAUUGUAAGUUGCCAAGAAAGGCUCAUUCCCUACAGCAACAUAUCUAAUGUUAACAUUGUUGUCAUUAAUG